rnacentral:rRNA from 1 species
UACGAAGGGGGCGAGCGUUGUUCGGAAUUACUGGGCGUAAAGGGCGCGCAGGCGGUCCUUCAAGUCAGGUGUGAAAUCCCUCGGCUCAACCGAGGAAUGGCGCUUGAUACUGCAAGGCUUGAGGGAGACAGGGGUAAGCGGAACUGAUGGUGGAGCGGUGAAAUGCGUUGAUAUCAUCAGGAACACCGGUGGCGAAAGCGGCUUACUGGGUCUCUUCUGACGCUGAGGAACGAAAGCUAGGGUAGCGAACGGG